rnacentral:rRNA from 1 species
AUGCCGAGCGCGCCGGCGGGCGCGGGCGCGCUGGUCAAGCUCGGGCUGCUGGGAGGCGCGGCGCUCUACCUCGGCAACAAGACCCUCUACAACGUCGAGGGAGGCCACCGGGCCAUCGUCUUCAACCGCCUCGAGGGGAUCAAGGACAAGGUAGCCGCCAACCCCUCCCCUCCCGCGGAUCCGCGGAUCUCGGCCGUCUCUUUCCGCGAGUAG